AUCGAUGAAGAACGCAGCGAAAUGCGAUAAGUAAUGUGAAUUGCAGAAUUCAGUGAAUCAUCGAAUCUUUGAACGCACAUUGCGCCCAUUAGUAUUCUAGUGGGCAUGCCUGUUCGAGCGUCAUUUCAACCCUUAAGCCCUGCUGCUUAGUGUUGGGAGCCUACGGUCUCGUGCCGUAGCUCCUCAAAGUUAGUGGCGGGGUCGGUUCGCACUCCAGACGUAGUAGAUUUUAUUUUCAUCUCGCCUGUAGUGUGUGCCGGUCCUCUGCCGUAAAACCCCCCAAUUUUUAAAGGUUGACCUCGGAUCAGGUAGGAAUACCCGCUGAACUUAAGCAUAUCAAUAAGCGGAGGAAAAGAAACCAACAGGGAUUGCCCUAGUAACGGCGAGUGAAGCGGCAACAGCUCAAAUUUGAAAUCUGGCCCUCGGGUCCGAGUUGUAAUUUGCAGAGGAUGCUUUUGGCGCGGUGCCUUCCGAGUUCCCUGGAACGGGACGCCUUAGAGGGUGAGAGCCCCGUACGGUUGGACACCAAGCCUCUGUAAAGCUCCUUCGACGAGUCGAGUAGUUUGGGAAUGCUGCUCUAAAUGGGAGGUAAAUUUCUUCUAAAGCUAAAUAUUGGCCAGAGACCGAUAGCGCACAAGUAGAGUGAUCGAAAGAUGAAAAGCACUUUGAAAAGAGGGUUAAAUAGCACGUGAAAUUGUUGAAAGGGAAGCGUUUGCGACCAGACCUCUUCAUGGCGAAUCAUCCGGUGUUCUCACCGGUGCACUUCGUCACGUCGAGGCCAGCAUCGGUUUCUGUAGGGGGAUAAAAGCUCUGGGAACGUAGCUCCUCCGGGAGUGUUAUAGCCCUCUGCAUAAUACCUUUACGGGGACCGAGGACCGCGCUUUAUUGCAAGGAUGCUGGCGUAAUGGUCGUCAACGACCCGUCUUGAAACACGG
rnacentral:rRNA from 1 species